UACGAAGGGGGCUAGCGUUGUUCGGAAUUACUGGGCGUAAAGCGCACGUAGGCGGCGCAGCAAGUUGGGGGUGAAAUCCCGAGGCUCAACCUCGGAAUUGCCUUCAAAACUGCUGUGCUCGAGUUCGGAAGAGGUGAGUGGAGUUCCCAGUGUAGAGGUGAAAUUCGUAGAGAUUGGGAAGAACACCAGUGGCGAAGGCGGCUCACUGGUCCGCAACUGACGCUGAGGUGCGAAAGCGUGGGGAGCAAACAGG
rnacentral:rRNA from 1 species